rnacentral:lncRNA from 10 species
CUCCACACCCAGGUACUGCUUACCCUGUAGGAACUGCCUGUCAUCCUGAGCUUUCUAAGAACGUGCCCUCCCGGCUGGGCAUGGUGGCUCAUGCCUGUAAUCCCAGCAUUUUGGGAGGCCAAGGUGGGCAGAUCAUGAGGUCAGGAGUUCAAGACCAGCCUGGCCAACAUGGUGAAACUCCAUCUGUACUAAAAAUAUUUGCUCACUCAGGGCCAGAUUCUAAGUGCUUUAUCCCUAUUAAGUCAGUCAGUUCUCUUUACAAUCUAUGAAGUAGGCAGUACUAUGAAGUGCUCGCAUUAUUUCCCUUCUAAAGAUGAGGCACCAAUAAGGCCAGUGGUUCUCAAAGAGUGGUCCCCAGACCAGCAGCCCUCACAUCCCCUGGUGGGCCUUUGGGAGUGAUUAAGUCAUGAGGGCUCCACUUUCAUGAAUGGGAUUAGCACCCUCAUAAGAGGGCUCUAGGUUAAAGAGAACUCUUGCUUGCUCUUCUGCCUUCUGCCAUGUGUUGGACUUCCCAGCCUCUGGAACCAUGAGAAAUAAAUUUUUAUUGUUUAUAAAUUACCCAGUCUGGGCUGGGAGUGGUGGCUCAUGCCUGCAAUUCCAGCACUUUGGGAGGCUGAGGCAGGUGGAUCACCUGAGGUCACGAGUUCAAGACCAGUCUGACCAACAUGAAGAAACCCCAUCUCACUAAAAAUACAAAAUUAGCCGGGUGUGGUGGUACAUGCCUGUAAUCCCAGCUACUCGGGAGGCGGAAGCAGGAGAAUCACUUGAACCUGGGAGGCAGAGGUUGCAGUGAGCCGAGAUCGCGCCAUUGCAGUCCAGCCUGGGCAACAAGAGCGAAACUCUGUUUCUAAAUAAAUAAAUAAAUAACCCAGUCUGUGGUAUUUUGUUGCGGUAGCACACAUGAACUAAAACACCUGGGAAGUUGUUAGAAAUGCAUUAUUGGGCUGACUCAGACCUAACGGAGUGGGGCCCAGGGCUGUGUCCCCCAGGUGAUUCUGAUGGAUGCCCAAGGUUGAGAACCACCACCUUCAGUGUUUGCCUUUCUUUCCCUCCAACCCUCAGAG